UCGACAAGCGGGUUUACGACCUCGAUGUUGGAUCAGGGUGUCCUAGUGGUGCAGCCGCUACUAAGGGUUCGUUUGUUCAACGAUUAAAACCCCACGUGAUCUGAGUUCAGACCGGAGUAAUCCAGGUCAGUUUCUAUCUAUAGACUUAGGGCUUUUUCCAGUACGAAAGGACCAAAAAAGCAUGGCCUAUUUUAAACAAAGCCAUUAUUAAUUAUUUUUGACCCCCUUAAAAAAUAACUAACCUUCUUUUUUCUCAAGAAAAGAGUA
rnacentral:rRNA from 1 species